CUCAAAUUUAAGUGGAACCUCUUGUGUUCCAGCUUGAUCCCAUUACCCCUUGUCCUAUCAUUGUUUGCCACCGAGAAGAGCCUGACUCCAUCCUCAUGGCAUAAGGUCAUGGUGAACCCUGCAGACCUGCUGUUGUCAUGGCUUGCUUUAUCAUACAAUGAGAAAUGAACCCACAGGUUGUCCUACCAGAGCCUACAAGCUGUUCCAUCCCAUGGUUACAGCCCAUAUCCAUGUCCACAGUACUCAGGAACAGACAGACAGAAGGAAAAGGAUUUUCAUGAUGGUGAAUGGGCUCAGGCUGGGCACAGACCAGUCUUCCCUCAACCACACUGAACCCUUGGAAACAGGACUUGCAGAAGGUGAGUCUCCCAAUUCCAACACCUGUGUGGUGACUGUGCACAGUGUAGACAGACCCACACUGGCUGUCCUGAGGCUUCUCAAUUAACUCUAGAGGACUAGAGGUCUAGACAUAUGUGUGUAUGUAUGUGUGUUGCCUGUUGAGUGUAUGUCAGGUGCCCGUUACUAGACUCUUCCAUCAUGGGAGCUGAGUCCUCUGCCCACAAUGAUGUGUUUUGCACGGGAAAUGCAUGAGCCUCUCAUCCGGUCACACAAAAGAUGCCUUCACUAGGGAAUGUGCUUGGCAUACAGCAGGAAAUGGAAAGACAGCAGCUGAAGAAGCCAAAACACAGCCCAUAGCAUUAGCUGGGAUGUUUUGCAUUCAAGAUGAGCUUGUCAGUGAUUAAUCACCUCUGCAAGGGAUGCCUCUGUCAGCCUGGGGCAGUAAGGGUGCGUGAUAAAAGUCAGCCCAGCUCCUCACUCUCUCAUCCACUUCUCUUGCCUCCUUCUCCUUGGGAGUCAGGUGCAGCUCCAGACUCAAGACAUGUCCUGCAAUGACCAGUGCCAGUCCUGCCAGCCCUGUGGCCCCACCCCACUGGCCAACAGCUGCACUGAGCCCUGUGUCAGGCAGUGCCAGAGCUCCACCAUCAUCAUCCAGCCCGCCCCUGUGGUGGUGACCCUGCCUGGCCCCAUCCUCAGCUCCUUCCCUCAGAACACCGUUGUGGGCUCCUCCACCUCUGCUGCUGUUGGCAGAAUCCUCAGCUGUGAUGGAGUGCCCAUCAACUCUGGCUGCUGUGACCUGUCCUGCAUUUCCAGCUGCAGCAGAUGCCCCCCAUGCUAAAGACGUUGGCAAUGGCCUUGGCUACGGACCCCUAGGAACUCAGAUCGUGGUGCCGGACAGACAAUCAAACUUUAUGCCAUUGUUUCCAGACAUUGUUUUCAAGUCUUCUCUGGCUUGUCCUUCAAGGGUAGGCUGAAACAUGACUUUCUGAACACAUGGAAAAUGUGUACUUUCCCUCUCUUCUGCUCACGCUUUUUUUCUCUUUGUUUUGUGCUCCCCUCAAAUCCUGCUAUGAGGACCCCAGAAUCCAACCUGGGGUGAGCUGCUAAGCUGUCCCCUCUUUUGGAACAGCUGGACAGGAAAAGGGGAACAGAUUCUUGGCUGUUCCUGCUCCUUGCCAUACUGGGGCCUCCAGCUGGAGUGAACUUAUUUCCCUCUUUAGACUCAAUAAAGAAUUCUGCAAGCCUG